rnacentral:rRNA from 1 species
CUCUGGCGGAUCAGUGGCGAACGGGUGAGUAACACGUGAGUAACCUGCCCCCGACUCUGGGAUAACUGCUAGAAAUGGUAGCUAAUACCGGAUAUGACGAUUGGCCGCAUGGUCUGGUCGUGGAAAGAAUUUCGGUUGGGGAUGGACUCGCGGCCUAUCAGGUUGUUGGUGAGGUAAUGGCUCACCAAGCCUACGACGGGUAGCCGGCCUGAGAGGGUGACCGGCCACACUGGGACUGAGACACGGCCCAGACUCCUACGGGAGGCAGCAGUGGGGAAUAUUGCACAAUGGGCGAAAGCCUGAUGCAGCAACGCCGCGUGAGGGAUGACGGCCUUCGGGUUGUAAACCUCUUUUAGUAGGGAAGAAGCGAAAGUGACGGUACCUGCAGAAAAAGCACCGGCUAACUACGUGCCAGCAGCCGCGGUAAUACGUAGGGUGCAAGCGUUGUCCGGAAUUAUUGGGCGUAAAGAGCUCGUAGGCGGUUUGUCGCGUCUGCUGUGAAAUCCCGAGGCUCAACCUCGGGUCUGCAGUGGGUACGGGCAGACUAGAGUGCGGUAGGGGAGAUUGGAAUUCCUGGUGUAGCGGUGGAAUGCGCAGAUAUCAGGAGGAACACCGAUGGCGAAGGCAGAUCUCUGGGCCGUAACUGACGCUGAGGAGCGAAAGCAUGGGGAGCGAACAGGAUUAGAUACCCUGGUAGUCCAUGCCGUAAACGUUGGGAACUAGAUGUGGGGACCAUUCCACGGUCUCCGUGUCGCAGCUAACGCAUUAAGUUCCCCGCCUGGGGAGUACGGCCGCAAGGCUAAAACUCAAAGGAAUUGACGGGGGCCCGCACAAGCGGCGGAGCAUGCGGAUUAAUUCGAUGCAACGCGAAGAACCUUACCAAGGCUUG